AAAUUGAAGAGUUUGAUCAUGGCUCAGAUUGAACGCUGGCGGCAGGCCUAACACAUGCAAGUCGAACGGUAGCAUAGAGAGCUUGCUCUCGGGUGACGAGUGGCGGACGGGUGAGUAAUGUCUGGGAAACUGCCUGAUGGAGGGGGAUAACUACUGGAAACGGUGGCUAAUACCGCAUAACGUCGCAAGACCAAAGAGGGGGACCUUCGGGCCUCUUGCCAUCAGAUGUGCCCAGAUGGGAUUAGCUUGUUGGUGAGGUAACGGCUCACCAAGGCGACGAUCCCUAGCUGGUCUGAGAGGAUGACCAGCCACACUGGAACUGAGACACGGUCCAGACUCCUACGGGAGGCAGCAGUGGGGAAUAUUGCACAAUGGGCGCAAGCCUGAUGCAGCCAUGCCGCGUGUAUGAAGAAGGCCUUCGGGUUGUAAAGUACUUUCAGCGGGGAGGAAGGUGUUG
rnacentral:rRNA from 1 species